rnacentral:rRNA from 1 species
GAUGAACGCUGACAGAAUGCUUAACACAUGCAAGUCUUUGGCGAAGCUGUGCUUGCACAGCCUAGCCAAGGCGGACGGGUGAGUAACGCGUAAGGAACUUGCCCUGCAGUCAGGGAUAACAGACGGAAACGACUGAUAAGACCUGGUAAAGUCAGGCGGACUCAUGUCCAGCCUGAUGAAAAGAGAUGCUGCAGGAGAGCCUUGCAUCCUAUUAGCUUGUUGGUGGGGUAACGGCCCACCAAGGCGAUGAUAGGUAGCCGGCCUGAGAGGGUGGACGGCCACAAGGGGACUGAGAUACGGCCCUUACUCCUACGGGAGGCAGCAGGGGGGAAUAUUGGACAAUGGGGGCAACCCUGAUCCAGCAAUUCUGUGUGCACGAUGAAGGUUUUCGGAUUGUAAAGUGCUUUCAGCAGGGAAGAAAAAAAUGACGGUACCUGCAGAAGAAGCGACGGCUAAAUACGUG